rnacentral:rRNA from 1 species
ACGGAAGGCAGCAGUGGGGAAUAUUGCACAAUGGGCGAAAGCCUGAUGCAGCGACGCCGCGUGAGCGAAGAAGUAUUUCGGUAUGUAAAGCUCUAUCAGCAGGGAAGAAGAAAUGACGGUACCUGACUAAGAAGCCCCGGCUAACUACGUGCCAGCAGCCGCGGUAAUACGUAGGGGGCAAGCGUUAUCCGGAUUUACUGGGUGUAAAGGGAGCGCAGGCGGCAGGGCAAGUCUGAUGUGAAAACCCGGGGCUUAACCUCGGGACUGCAUUGGAAACUGCUCAGCUUGAGUGUCGGAGAGGUAAGUGGAAUUCCUAGUGUAGCGGUGAAGUGCGUAGAUAUUAGGAGGAACACCAGUGGCGAAGGCGGCUUACUGGACGACAACUGACGCUGAGGCUCGAAAGCGUGGGGAGCAAACAGGAUUAGAUACCCUGGUA